ACAGGUGACGGAGGAUGAGGGUUUGACUCCGGAGAGGGAGCCUGAGAGAUGGCUACCACAUCUAAGGAAGGCAGCAGGCGCGCAAAUUGCCCAAUCCCAACAGAGGGAGGUAGUGACAAGAAAUAGCAAUACAAGGCAUCCAUGUUUUGUACUUGGAAUGAAUGGCCAGCAAACUUUGUUUUUAGGAUCAAUUGGAGGGCAAGUCUGGUGCCAGCAGCCGCGGUAAUUCCAGCUCCAAUGGUGUAUAUUAGAGUUGUUGCGGUUAAAAGGCUCGUAGUUGGAUCUCUGCUGGGGAUGUCUGGUCCGCCCUUUGGGUGAGCAUCUGGUGCAAUCCAAGCCCUUUUUCCCAGAGGGGCGUCUGCACUUGACUGUGUGGUGCACUUCUGGGAGCAUUUACUUUGAGGAAGUAAGGGUGUUCAAAGCAGGUGUUUCGCCUUGGAUGCAGAAGCAUGGAAUAUUGUUUUGAGUCUUGGCCUCAUUUUGUUGGUUUCUGAAGCGAAGGUAGUGUUCAAAGGGGAUGGUUGGGGGCAUUCAUAUUCGACUGUCAGAGGUGAAAUUCUUGAAUUUGUCAAGGAUGGACCAGUGCGAAGGCAUUUGCCAAGGAUGUCUUCAUUGAUCAAGAACGAAAGUUAGGGGAUCGAAGACGAUUAGAUACCGUCAUAGUCUUAACCAUAAACAAUGCCAACUAGAGAUUGGGGGUCGUUACCUGUAGGAUUCUGUCAGCACCUUGCAAGAAAUUUAAGUCUUUGGGUUCCGGGGGGAGUAUGGUCGCAAGGCUGAAACUUAAAGGAAUUGACGGAAGGGCACCACCAGGAGUGGAGCCUGCGGCUUAAUUUGACUCAACACGGGGAAACUUACCAGGUCCUGGCACAAGUGGGAUUGACAGAUUGACAGCUUUUUCUUGAUUCUGUGGGUGGUGGUGCAUGGCCGUUCUUAGUUGGUGGAGUGAUUUGUCUGGUUAAUUCCGUUAACGAACGAGACCUUGACCUGCUAAAUAGUAACACGUAAUUGCGAGUAUGUGGACAACUUCUUAGAGGGACUUUGUGUGUCUAGCACAAGGAAGUGUGAGGCAAUAACAGGUCUGUGAUGCCCUUUGAUGUUCUGGGCUGCACGCGUGCUACACUGAUGCACCCACUGAGCACCUCAUCUUGCCUGAAGUGGCUGGGCAAUCUUUGGAAUGUGCACCGUGAUGGGGAUGGAUCAUUGCAAUUAUUGCUUCUUAACGAGGAAUUCCUAGUAAAUGUGAGUCAUCAACUUGCACUGAUUACGUCCCUGCCCUUUGUACACACCGCCCGUCGCUCCUACCGAUUGAGUGGU
rnacentral:rRNA from 1 species